AUUGAACGCUGGCGGCAGGCCUAACACAUGCAAGUCGAACGAGUGGCGGACGGGUGAGUAAUGUCUGGGAAACUGCCUGAUGGAGGGGGAUAACUACUGGAAACGGUAGCUAAUACCGCCUACUAUCCGAUGUCCCCAGAUGAGAUUAGCUUGUUGGUGGGGUAACGGCUCACCAAGGCGACGAUCCCUAGCUGGUCUGAGAGGAUGACCAGCCACACGUGAACUGUGACACGGUCCAGGAGCCUACGGGAGGCGGCAGGUGGGAAGGUGGCACAAUGGGCGAUGGCCUGAUGAAGCCAUGCCGCGUGUGUGAGGAAGGACAUCGGUUAGCAAAGUACUUUCAGCGGUGAGGCGUUACCCUUAUAAGAAGACCCGGCUAACUCCGUGCCAGCAGCCGCGGUAAUAC
rnacentral:rRNA from 1 species